ensembl:lncRNA
GGAGGAUGCUGGGGUCCACUUUAAAUACUUCAUCUUUAUUUGUUUAUAUAUAAAUGUAUCUGCAAAUAUGCUCAUUCAUACAAUCGUGUUUUUAUUCUGUCACUUUUGUGUCUUUUUUAUGCAAACAAACAGGAUUUAGAGGAAAACUAUAAACAGCACAAUCAAAAAUGUAUCGCAAGUCAAAUAAAUCUGUGAUUAAACUGUGGAUCCAAAUCCGCUCCUGGAUCCUGAAUAUGAACAGAUGCAAACGUUUGCACAGUGACGGUUCUGCUGUAAUAGAAAUCUUUCAGCUGACGUUUCACAGUUCAGCCAACAACACUUGUGAUUUGGAGAAAAAAUGAAAGCUCCAGGCCCCCGCUGACCCCGUCCAUCAACAUGUUUAUUCUGUAACACAGUGCUUGUUUGCACUCAACUACAAACACUUAUGUUGUUUGUUUGCACAAUAAGGACACAAAAUAACUUCAUAUUGUCUUUAAAAACAUCUUUUUAUUACAAAUAUAAACAUCUUUUCUAAAGUAUGGCUUAUUCAGCAGUUCCAUCAAAAAACUUCUUUACGUAUAAUAAAAAUGUCACCACGUAGUGAAAUCUUCCAGGCGUUUGUCUGCAAACUUUCUGAAAUGGUUCAGGAAAGAAGCUCUGUGAUUGGUCCACCUGCUCCCAUGAGGAGCCAUGUUCACUGAGGACGGAGCUGAGGGGCUUGUCUCGACACCUGUCACCAGCUGCAACAUGAAAAACAUCAAAUCAAACAUCAAACUGUGCAAAUUCAAAGAAAACCAAACGCCUUGUAACGUGUGGUGGAGAUGAAGCCAGCCGUGGAGGUGUGCAGGUGGAUCGUCAACGAGCCACGACUUUCCACAAGUACUCGCUUGUUUGAAAUAUUACAAAUAAAACAGCCAGCUCUGCCACACCUUACUCCAGAGCGCACUAGUGCACCUACACACGGAGGAUCCAUAUCAGAGAUGGUUCAACGAAGAAGAAGAAAAAGGGGGCGACCUACCAGCCAUGACACAAGAGGCGCCACCAUGUGGCGAUACACUGUAUUACAACAGCCACAACAGCAACAGCCUGAAUGUUUGCUUCCAUCCAUUCAUGCUGUGACAACAGAAGCUGAUUGGUCAGCAGCUUUCAUCUACUUAGACUGAAAGUUGUGCAUUUCCAUGUUUAAGCACAUAUUAUAUUUUGACAAAUCAACUAUAUUAAAG